CUUUAUUGGAGAGUUUGAUCCUGGCUCAGGACGAACGCUGGCGGCGUGCCUAAUACAUGCAAGUCGAGCGAGGGUCUUCGGACCCUAGCGGCGGACGGGUGAGUAACACGUAGGCAACCUGCCUCUCAGACCGGGAUAACAUAGGGAAACUUAUGCUAAUACCGGAUAGGUUUU
rnacentral:rRNA from 1 species